GACGAACGCUGGCGGCGUGCUUAACACAUGCAAGUCGAACGGAAAGGCCCUGCUUGCAGGGUACUCGAGUGGCGAACGGGUGAGUAACACGUGGGUGAUCUGCCCUGCACUUCGGGAUAAGCCUGGGAAACUGGGUCUAAUACCGGAUAGGAGCCAUUUUUAGUGUGAUGGUGGGAAAGUUUUUUCGGUGUAGGAUGAGCUCGCGGCCUAUCAGCUUGUUGGUGGGGGAAUGGCCUACCAAGGCGGCGACGGGUAGCCGGCCUGAGAGGGUGGACGGCCACAUUGGGACUGAGAUACGGCCCAGACUCCUACGGGAGGCAGCAGUGGGGAAUAUUGCACAAUGGGCGCAAGCCUGAUGCAGCGACGCCGCGUGGGGGAUGACGGCCUUCGGGUUGUAAACUCCUUUCGCUAGGGACGAAGCUUUUUGUGACGGUACCUAGAGAAGAAGCACCGGCUAACUACGUG
rnacentral:rRNA from 1 species